GCUAGGAUAGCUCAGUGGUAGAGCAAUCGUUUCAUAAGCGAUCGGUCGGGAGUUCGAUCCUCCCUCCUAGCA
rnacentral:tRNA from 1 species